UUCGUGGAACUACUCUAAGGGGAGGGGAGCCGCGAAAGGGAACGGGGGGAGGGGGGCAUGAGGAUGAAAAGAGCGAAGAAGAGUUGAGAGCUGGCGGCGGCUCCCGGGGAGAACUGCUCCGAGAGACAUUACUGUGGGAAAGCUAGGCUCCUCUAGCCCCGUGUGUGCCGACAAAUAGACCUUCCAGCAAAACUGUUGGCGGCGACCUGAGCGCUGGGAGCCGAAGGAAGGAAGAAAGAGACGCCAGCCGGGCGGCCGAGCGGGGCGGCCGGCACAAAGGAGGCGGACUCGCGGCCGCAGCUGCCCGCGCCGGGGAGGCACGGCCCGCGGCCCUGCUGGACCGAAGUCCCGCACCGGCAGCUAGGAAUAAAGUUUACGUUCUCCUGAGACCGCACCCCCCCUCCUCCCACCCAGGACCGCGCAUCUCCGCGUCCUGCUCCCCCAAACUCCACUCGGGACCCCGAGCACCACCCCAGCCUCGCAGCCAGCACAACAAAGAGACACACCGACCGGCGAGCGUAAACAGCCGCGGCAGGGCGAGCAGGGCGGGCAGGGCGAGCGCCUCGAGGUAGCGACUCCGGAGUCUCCCCGGCUCGCCGGAGCGUAGUUUCUCCUUUUCUGUUUCAACCAGCCUUACAACACUGGGAAUUUUCAUUUUCACCCGCGCCCCUCUUACCCGAGGAUUUUUAACUCACCUUUACUUUCGAACUGAGUUGCGGUGGAUGGGAUUUUUGUCUUCCCCGGAUGGUUGAAGGUUACGAUUUUUGUUUUUUUGGAAAGCCCAACACCUCCUUAUUCCUGUGAUUAUUUUUUCAAGAAAAGUAGAGAGUUGGAGUGGAGGUGAGACUGGUGAUCGGGAAAGCCCUGGACUCCCUCCUUCUCCGUCUUCCGCCUCGCUCUCUCUGAUUAGUUCCUAUCCAGCAGCAGAUUGAAGCAGGAGAUGAUUCUUCUCAAGGUUUGUUCAGCAGCUUCACUUCUAGGCGAAGGCUUCAUGAACCAAGUGACGUCAACCAACAAGGCUUCUCUCUCUCUCCUCUCUCUAACAAUGAAAGUUGCUGUUAACAAGGGAAAAAAGAGAGAGAAUUGUUUAUACCAUUUCACUUCCAAUAAUAAAUGACCUAUCAGCUCCUAAAGGAGCCAAGGGAGGGAGGGGGUUGCUUCUUCUUCUCAAGGAUACUGUAGCUUUAAGUUUGCACCGUUCCUGGUCCCAGGAAAAAGUUAGGAAACUUCAUGUUUUGUUUUGCUUUGCUUUUAAAAGCAGAGAGGACAGAAAAUGAGAUCGAAAACGGAAUUUUUCAAAAACGUAAACUGGAGAAUAGGGAACAUAGAUUAACCAUUUCCACCUAAACUUUUUUGUCCGUAAACUCAGAAUUCGGUUGAAGUCCACAAGCCAACUAAAUUAAUAUGCCAAGAAUUCGUGGGUGUUUGGAAAUCAAAAUAAAAUAAAAAGAAGGACGCAAGAUUGUCCCGGGAUUAAACGCUACUGCCCUAACACGGGCAAGUUAAACUGUAAUGUUUAUGCAUGGAGUUAAAAUUUAAAUAAAACAUUUUAAAAUAGUAAA